CGCGCGAUAACUACGCGAAAGCGUGGCUAAUACCGCAUACGCCCUACGGGGGAAAGCGGGCGAUCUUAGGACCUCUCACUAAUGGAGCGGCCGAUAUCGGAUUAGCUAGUUGGUGGGGUAAAGGCCUACCAAGGCGACGAUCCGUAGCUGGUUUGAGAGGACGACCAGCCACACUGGGACUGAGACACGGCCCAGACUCCUACGGGAGGCAGCAGUGGGGAAUUUUGGACAAUGGGGGAAACCCUGAUCCAGCCAUCCCGCGUGUGCGAUGAAGGCCUUCGGGUUGUAAAGCACUUUUGUCAGGGAAGAAAAGGUUUCGGAUAAUACCCGGAACUGAUGACGGUACCUGAAGAAUAAGCACCGGCUAACUACGUGCCAGCAGCCGCGGUAAUACGUAGGGUGCAAGCGUUAAUCGGAAUUACUGGGCGUAAAGCGUGCGCAGGCGGUUCGGAAAGAAAGAUGUGAAAUCCCAGGGCUCAACCUUGGAACUGCAUUUUUAACUACCGAACUAGAGUAUGUCAGAGGGGGGUGGAAUUCCACGUGU
rnacentral:rRNA from 1 species